rnacentral:tRNA from 1 species
GGUGAGGUGGCUGAGUUAGGCGGUAAAUUGUAAAUUUAUUAACGAAAUUGAAAUUUCUCUCACCA